UACGUAGGGUGCAAGCGUUAAUCGGAAUUACUGGGCGUAAAGCGUGCGCAGGCGGUUUUGUAAGUCAGAUGUGAAAUCCCCGGGCUCAACCUGGGAACUGCGUUUGAAACUACAAGGCUAGAGUGUAGCAGAGGGGGGUGGAAUUCCACGUGUAGCAGUGAAAUGCGUAGAGAUGUGGAGGAACACCGAUGGCGAAGGCAGCCCCCUGGGUCAAGAUUGACGCUCAUGCACGAAAGCGUGGGGAGCAAACAGG
rnacentral:rRNA from 1 species